rnacentral:rRNA from 1 species
CCGGAUAAUAUUUUGAACCGCAUGGUUCAAAAGUGAAAGACGGUCUUGCUGUCACUUAUAGAUGGAUCCGCGCUGCAUUAGCUAGUUGGUAAGGUAACGGCUUACCAAGGCAACGAUGCAUAGCCGACCUGAGAGGGUGAUCGGCCACACUGGAACUGAGACACGGUCCAGACUCCUACGGGAGGCAGCAGUAGGGAAUCUUCCGCAAUGGGCGAAAGCCUGACGGAGCAACGCCGCGUGAGUGAUGAAGGUCUUCGGAUCGUAAAACUCUGUUAUUAGGGAAGAACAUAUGUGUAAGUAACUGUGCACAUCUUGACGGUACCUAAUCAGAAAGCCACGGCUAACUACGUGCCAGCAGCCGCGGUAAUACGUAGGUGGCAAGCGUUAUCCGGAAUUAUUGGGCGUAAAGCGCGCGUAGGCGGUUUUUUAAGUCUGAUGUGAAAGCCCACGGCUCAACCGUGGAGGGUCAUUGGAAACUGGAAAACUUGAGUGCAGAAGAGGAAAGUGGAAUUCCAUGUGUAGCGGUGAAAUGCGCAGAGAUAUGGAGGAACACCAGUGGCGAAGGCGACUUUCUGGUCUGUAA